AUUGAACGCUGGCGGCGUGCCUAACACAUGCAAGUCGAGCGGUAACAGGUGUAGCAAUACAUGCUGACGAGCGGCGAACGGGUGAGUAAUGCUUCGGAAUCUGCCCAUGUAGUGGGGAAUAACCAGCCGAAAGGUUGGCUAAUACCGCAUACGACCCUUGCCCACAAGGCAAAGGUGAAAGCAGGGGAUCGCAAGACCUUGCGCUAUUGGAUGAGCCGAAGUCGGAUUAGCUAGUUGGUAGGGUAACGGCCUACCAAGGCGACGAUCCGUAGCUGGUCUGAGAGGACGACCAGCCACACUGGGACUGAGACACGGCCCAGACUCCUACGGGAGGCAGCAGUGGGGAAUAUUGGACAAUGGGGGCAACCCUGAUCCAGCGACGCCGCGUGUGUGAAGAAGGCCUGCGGGUUGUAAAGCACUUUUAGUGGGGAUGAAAAGC
rnacentral:rRNA from 1 species